GCGGAGUCUCCAGGGUUGUUAAUAAAUAGUUAACCUGUCUAGAAUAUGUCUUCAUACAUAUGUCUAGCUACUUUCCGCUGCAAGAUGUUGUUGAUGUUAUAGUAUGUUAUGUCAUACUUUGAGUCUUAAGAGAAUGGUUUCAUACGAUGUAUAACUUGAUUAAUGAUAUUAAUUAACUUUUAUGCAGUCUUUCAUAGACUGUUUUCAAUUGAGUAUUAAUGAAUAAAAAUGACGAGUUUUAUUAAGAUGAGUAAGUUUUACGGCUAUAAAUGACGCCCCUUUUCUUCCCC
rnacentral:lncRNA from 1 species